UUGCUCUAAUCUUUAUUAUUUUCUUCCAUUUGCUAACUUUGGGCUUAGCUUGGUCUUCUUUUACUAGUUCCUUUACUUAUACUCUUAGGUUGUUCAUUUGAGAUCUUUUUGUUUUCUUACUGUAGAUGUUUAUCUCUAAACUUCCUUUAUAGGACUGCUCUUUUUUUGCCUUCUAUGUUUUAGCACGUUGUUUUUGUUUUUGUCGGUCUUGAGGUAUUUUCUAAUUUCCCUUUGGAUUUCUUCCUUGACUCAAUGACUAUUCAAGAAUUUAUUGUGAAAUUUCCAUUUUACAGAUUCCAUUUGUGAAUUUUUCCAUUUUACUUUUGUUAUUGAUUUUUAGUUUGCUAAUGUUGCGGUUUGGGAAAGAUACUUGAAAUGAUUUCAGUCUUCUUAAAUUUGUUUUGUCACCUAGCAAGUGACUUACCUUCAAGAAGAGAAACUAGUGGUAGGGCAGCACUUAUCACAUACAUGCACCUGGUUUCCUGUGUGGGGUGCUCAGAGCCUGUUUGUGGGGAUGUUGAUGCAACAGGAAAACAUAAAGUUUUAAAAUUUAUAAUACACAGGUGUUUCCCAGGAAAUGGUGCAAGGUGGCUAAACCUUGAUCUAUUUUAUAUAUCUGAAAUAUUUUAAUUCUGCUAUCAAAUUUGAUUGAUAAAUGUCUGGGUAUAGAAUACUAUGUUAGACAUAAUUUCCCCUCAAAUUGUUUUCUGGAUUUCUGAAACAUUUUAAAAGUUGGAUGCCAUUUUUUAUGGUAUUUCUUUGUAUGGGGCUUCUUUCUUUCACUCUGGGUGUAUCACUGUACCUCUUUAUUGCCAACUUUCUGAGAAAGUAUGAUGGUAUGUCUUGAUGUGAGCUCUUUUAAUUUAUCAUGUGGGAGUCCUCAGUGCGUUUUUUUCAAACCUGGACUCUCAUGUUCUUUAAUUCUGGAGAAUUGAUUGAAAGCAUGAAUGGAAGUUGUCUUGAAAUUGCUUUCUCUACCUAGAAGAAAUUCCUAUUCACAUUUUAAAUUAAAGUUUAAAGAUUACAUUCAUCGAAAAUAUUUCUGACUACCCUUCUCAUCUCCAAAAAGAAAACAUAGCAAAACACCACCACCAACAACCUAGGGACAUGGUUCUACCAUGUGUACAUGUCUACUGAUCCUUUUAUAGUAAUGAUUUUUACUGUUUAUUUCUCUGUCCAGGCAGUGAGAAAUUUGGUCAGGACUAAAUUUUAAAGAGAAAUGAUUUCAAAAAAGUUCUUCCUGACACAUAUGUAUUUACCUUACUGAAAUAAAUUCAUUGUUUUUAAGAAGAAUAAAAUGCCUGUUGUAAGAUAGUAAGAACUACAAAAAACAAAACAAAAAAUCCCACAGUGUACUCCAUUUCUUAGAAAAGUGGGUAAGCAAUACUAGUGCUGUGGGCAGCUGAGCUGGGCUGUGUGAGGAACAACUGCUGGGUUCCUGCUGCUGGAUUUAAAAGGGCAGAGGUCUACUGGAUUCUAUUUGCAUUACUAUAAGUGUACUAGAGACCGAAAUCUUAUUUCUUGAGGUGAAUGUCUCUCUGGUGACUCUAGCAGGAAGCUAGGCUUUUCCAUCAGAAAGAGUAGGUACCUAAAGGAUAAAAAUAGUUCUUUCCACUCUGAGUGAAGGCAAAGCAAAGUGAAAUUUAAAGAAAGUAAAGACAGGUCAUUUGGAGAGAUGAGCAGAAAAAUGAGCAAACCUACUAAUUCCUUGUGUCAGGAAGAAUUAGUUGUUUAAAUAAAGUAUACAUGUAAAUAGCGUAUUAAUUGUGUUGGAACUCUAUUUUGUAUAAUGUGCUUCAUAUGUAGCUGUUAUUCUCUUAAGCAAUAUGUGUAAUAUUAAUUCUAAAUAAAUCUCCCUAUUUAGAUUAAUAUUGUUUAUUUACCAAACAUAGAAAGGCAAUAUGCCUAAUUCCAGAUGAUGUCUAUCUACAAAGUAAUCACUAAACUAGUAUCCAGACUGGGUCUCACAAAACUUGAGUCAGUAUAUUUGUUCUCCUUUGCUCCCCUGACCCCCAGCUUUACUGAGGUAUAACUGACAAAUAAAUACUGUAUACAUUAAAGGUAUACAGCAUGUUGUUUUCAUAUACAUAUGUAUUGUAAAAUAAUUAUCAUUAUCAAGUUAAUUAACAUAUAUUUCACCUCACAUAGCAUUUUUUUUUUUUUGGAGAGAAUGUUUAUUAUCUACACUCUUAGCUAAUUUUGAGUGUACAAUAGAAGACUAUUAACUAUAGUCACCACGCUGGACAUUAGAUAUCCAGACCUUAUUCGUCCAGCAUAACUGAAAUUUCAUUCCCUUUGACCAGCAUCUUCCCAUUUCCCCCACCUCCCAGUUCCUGGAAACCACCAUCCUACUCUCUACUUCCACUUUUUAAGAGAUCAUGCAGUAUUGUGUUUCUGUGUUUGGCUUAUUUCACUUGACAUAAAGUCCUCCAGGUUCAUCUAUGCUGUCAUGAAGGAAAGGAUUUCCUUCCUUCUUAAGGCUGAAUAAUAUUCCACUAUAUUGAAAGAGUUAAGAAUAUGCUACCCAAAAAUAUGCUUCUCUGGUUUAUUGACUAUUUUGAAUUAAAGAAACUUAAAAAAUAGCAGUUGCAAAAAGAUUACUCUGACCUUCAUUGUUUUUUAAAAGUAGAAGAUAAAAUUCUCACAUGAAGGGUGUUUUCCUCCAACUAAAAGAAUAACAUUCGAAUAAUUAAGAAAGGGAAGUUGAAACUGUUUGUGUGAAAAUGCCAUUGGAUUUUUUUAAUUGAUUGAUUAUUUAUUUUUCCUUUCAACUUUUUAUUGUAGGUUCAGGUGUACAUGUGCAGAUUUGUUGCAUGGGUAAACUGUAUGACAUGGGGAUUUGGUGUACAUAUUAUUUCAUCACCCAGGAAGAGGAAGAAGAAGAGGGAGGAAGGAGAGAAAAAAGGAAGGAAGGAAAGAAGAAAAGAAAAAAGAAUGAGAGAGAGAGAACAAAAGCAUCACCAAUAAGUGACGCUAGGAGCUAGCCCAAUGCAGAAGAAUGAAAUUGGACCCUUUUCUUUCACCAUAUACAAAAACUCACUCAAGAUGGGUGAAAGACUUAAAUGUAAAACCUAAAACUGUAAAAACCCUAGGAAACCUACGAAAUGUCAUUCUGGAUAUAGACCCUGGCAAGGAUUUCAUGAUAAAGACUCCAAAAGCAAUUGCAACAGAAACAAAAAUUGACAAGUAGAAUAUAAUUAAAGAGCUUCUGCACAGCAAAAUAAACAAUCAAAAGGGUAAACAGACAACCUACAGAAUGGGAAAAUGUAUUUGCAAACUAUGCAUCUGAUAAAGGUCUAAUAUCCAGCAUCUAUAAGGAACUUAAACAACUCUACAAGAAAAAACAAACAACCCCACCAAAAUUUUCUUAGAAUAGUCAAAAAAAUAGACAAAGAACAUGAACAGAGAAGACAUGCAUGCAGCCAAGAGAAGACAUGCUUCUCAAGAGAAGACAUGCAUGCAGCCAACAAGCAUAUGAAAAAAAUACUCAACAUCACUCAUCAUCUGAGAACUGCAAACCAAAACCACAAUGAUUUACCGUCUCACAGCAGUCAGAAUGGCUAUUAUAAAAAGUCAAAAAAUAACAGAUACUGGUGAGGUUGUGAAGAAAAGGGAAUGCUUAUACACUGCCUGUGGGAAUGUAAAUUAGUUCAGCCACUGUGGGAAGCAAUUUAGAGAUUUCUCAAAGAACUUAGAACUUCCACUGGAAUUUUGAUAAGGAUUGCAUUGAAUUUGGUCUCUCUUUGGGUACCAUGAACACUUUAACAAUAGUAAUCCAUAAGCAUGUGGUAUUUUUCCAUAUAUUUGCUUCCAUUCAAAUUUUUGAACACUUUGAAGUUUACAUAAAUCUUUCUUUUCUUUUCAUUCCUCUUUCUUUCUGUCUCUUACUUUCUUUGUUCUUCCUUCCUUCUUUCCUUCCUUCCUUCCUCUUCUUCUUACUUCUAGUGGCAAUAAGAACAUAUUCUAGCUUUAAUCUGGUGAUUUAUAUUUAGUGAAUUUUUAAAAAUUGAGAAUAAUGAUUGAACUGUAAUUGGAAAUAGACCUAAAGCAGAGAGAAACCUUUCCUCUUUGUUUUUCUCUUUUUUUUUCCUGUUCUCCACUGCUUCUUAAUUGAUCGAUUUGCUUUUCUAGUCAUAAGGAAGUUGUUUAUUAUAAAAUUAAAUUGAUAUUGUCAUUUCUGGAGA